rnacentral:rRNA from 1 species
AAUCAACGCUGGCGGCGUGCCUCAGACAUGCAAGUCGAACGCGAAAGUCCCCUUCGGGGGGCAAGUAGAGUGGCGCACGGGUGAGUAACACGUAGGUAAUCUACCUUUGGAUGGGGAAUAACAACCGGAAACGGUUGCUAAUACCGCAUAAUGCAGCGGCACCUAAUGGUGACAGUUGUUAAAGCGGGGGAUCGAAAGACCUCGCGUCUGAAGAGGAGCCUGCGGCGGAUUAGCAGUUGGUAAGGUAACGGCUUACCAAGGCAACGAUCCGUAGCCGGCCUGAGAGGGGCGGUCGGCCACACUGACACUGACAUACGGGUCAGACUCCUACGGGAGGCAGCAGUCGGGAAUUUUGGGCAAUGGGCGAAAGCCUGACCCAGNAACGCCGCGUGAAGGAUGAAAUCCCUCGGGAU